UCUUUGAUUUUUGUUGGACCUAAAAAUUGUAUUCAGAAUUUAAACAGGAAAAAAAAUUAAGAAUAGCAUAAUGUUAAGUUUUGGGAUUUGUAGUAGAUUGAAUUUCAUAGCUUUGGUAUUAUGGUUAUGAUAUAACAAUUUCAUGGGUAAUAAAAUACAUAAAGCAGUAAUUUUGAUUUAGUAAAGUGAGUAAUGUUAAAUAUGUAGUUUUUUUUUUUUUCCUUUUUUACCCUUCUCACCUCUGAAAAAGAAAGUACACCCAUCUCUUUUUCUCCCUUUCCAUGUGUGGCAUCCCCUCCCCCAACGCCUCUCUCUCUAUUGAUAUUUUUUUUACCCCUUCACCUCUGCUUGGUUCCUUCUUGGGCUUUAUCUGGAAAUCUCUCGCCAAUACUCAUGGAAGGCUCAACGAAUGGACGCAUUGAUUUUGGGAAGAUGGGUUAUGGUGCAAGCAUUACACAACGGCCAACACCACUUUCUCAAGCAUUACACACAGAAAUUGCGACAACUAACCAGAGAUCUUUGAAGGUGUAAGAAAGUUUCCAUGGUGGUCUGGACUCUGGACUGUUUGUGUAUACGUAGGCCAACAAGAAAACCAGAGACCGAAAAGUGAGGUAUUGCCGGUAGGCCAGCAUUGUGAAGAGCGGAAGAAUAGAGGGAGAGACACAGAGAAACAGAGGAAGAGCGAAACAGAGAAGAAAGACAGGUCAUGUAUGUGGUGUUUGACAAUCAAUUACAAGUCUUUUUAUUGGAAGCUUUUCUUUUUAUUCU